rnacentral:rRNA from 1 species
AUGUCAUUUGAGAAUCUUUCAAAUGAUGCAGGUAGAGAAUGUACGCUGGUAGGCGAUGAAGGUGUCGACCUAGGAUUGUUUGACUUCACCUUUGACGUAACCACUUCCUUCUUGUCGAAAAGGCUGGCGAGCGCUUGCUUCGAAAGCGAAGAAUUCGACUUGGAAGGCGCGGCGGAGAAGACGACUGAUUCCUCUCGUGCCUGCGGUCCUCCCUCCUAUGGCUAUGGAAUAGAGGAGCGAGGGAGGCGGCCUGCUCUGAUCAGGGAAGCCCGCUCGCUCGCUCGGCUUGUCACAUCCAAGAAUCCCUGCCCGUUGGCCCUCGCGCGCGCGGCUGUGCCAAGAGAGGAAAUGGCGCUUCUGCCUCUCUCUCUCUCUCUCUCUCUCUAUCUAUCUCUAAAAUGUGAGGGGGAGGGGAGAGAAGGUGGCGACUUCUUGGAGCUGAGCCUGAGCGCACGCGGGCAGCGAGCAGUAGCAGCAGCGGAGCAGCGGCAGCAGGCACAGAGAAAGAGGGAGCAAUACUGUGGCUGGCGUGCAAAAGCGCUGUGUGUCUAG